rnacentral:rRNA from 1 species
GUAGGGAAUAUUGGUAAUCUGGGAAACCGGGAACCAGCAACGCCGCGUGUGCGAUGAAGGCCUUCGGGUUGUAAAGCACUUUUUGAGGGGAUGAAAAAGGACAGUACCCUCAGAAUAAGUCUCGGCUAACUACGUGCCAGCAGCCGCGGUAAGACGUAGGAGACGAGCGUUAUUCGGAUUUACUGGGCGUAAAGCGCGUGCAGGCGGUUUGGUAAGUUGGAUGUGAAAGCUCCCGGCUCAACUGGGAGAGGUCGUUCAAAACUGCCAGACUAGAGAAUAGGAGAGGGAGGUGGAAUUCCGGGUGUAGUGGUGAAAUGCGUAGAUAUCCGGAGGAACACCAGUGGCGAAGGCGACCUCCUGGCCUAUUUCUGACGCUCAGACGCGAAAGCUAGGGUAGCAAACGGGAUUAGAAACCCUAGUAGUCC